GGCUUCAGUACGACUCAGUCAGAACUAUAAGUUUCAAAGCCCCGACGAGUAGGGUGGCGUGCCGGUGCGCGUUGAAGGCCAAGACGUGAGUCAGGCUGGAGCCGCCGGUAGUGCAGAUCUUGGUGGUAGUAGCAAGUACUCUGGUGAACCAACCUGGAGCUGUGAGGUCUGGAUUAGGGUUCCAUGUCAACAGUGAUUGAACAUGGGUGAGUCGAACCUAAGCCAACUGUGAAAGCAGUGACAUCCCGACAAAGGAGCGGUACGUGUGCUGCACUUACACCCCCAUAUAUAUAUCUCUCUCUCUGUGACGAUAAGGGUUCUGGUACGGAAAAUGCGCACACACAGUGAUCACUACAAGUAUGUGUGAGUGUGUGCGCUUGUUCGGUUACGCUCAUAAGCGUUGUUGAUCUAUGGCAAAAGGAUAUGACAAAACAAAAGGGAGAGAGAGGGUGAGCGUGAGAUUGCACGAGUCUUCUGCGUCUGGUUCUAUGUCUGGCGAAAGGGAAUGGGGACUUUGUUCCUUGACCGGUCCCGGCACCCUCGAUUGGCUCUGCCAGUCAAUGGUCCAUGCAAAUGGAACCAGGCCACAUCCGUCGGCAGUCGCCCGAGGAAGAGUUUUCUUUUCUGCUUAACGCACGAGAUCAUCCCUGGAAACAGUUCGGCUGGCGAAAGGGUGCCCCGUUGCGGCAGAGCGCCACGACUGUCGUGCGCGUCUCGGUGUUCCUGCCGGUCCGUGAAAAAGUGGUCGAGGGGAUUGCUCUUGUAUCAACGAAACGUCCGACAAGUUCGGGACGGACCGUACCCUAUAUCCGCAUCUGGUCUCCAAGGUUCGUAGCCUCUGCAGAGUCAGACACAUGUAGGUAAGGGAAGUCGGCAAACUCGAUCCGUAACUUCGGGAAAAGGAUUGGCUCUGAGGGCCGAGCUGGGCCGGGCCUUGCCUGCAAAGCAGUACCUAUAGUGACCGGAGUUUCAGGAGUGCGAGGGGCUCUAGUAGCUGCUUGUGCGUGUGUGCGUUCGCGCGUGCGCGCGUGUGGGCACGAACGAGUCCACCGCUCCGCUCCAACCACGAACGGCUGUGACGGCAAGGGCUCUGGGCGGGAGCGAUCAAACCGUUGGCCUCCAGCGCGUCUGGCUGGCGGCGGUGCUCCGUCUGACCCAUACGGCUCCAGCGGCUAGCGGCUAACUCAGAACUGUCAUGGACCAAGGGAAUCCGACUGUCUAAUUAAAACAAAGCGUCGUGACGGCCCCUGUUGGGUGUUGACGCGACGUG
rnacentral:rRNA from 1 species